rnacentral:rRNA from 1 species
AUUGAACGCUGGCGGCAUGCUUUACACAUGCAAGUCGAACGGCAGCGCGGGCUUCGGCCUGGCGGCGAGGGGCGGACGGGUGAGUAAUACAUCGGAACGUGCCCAGCUGCGUGGGAUAGCUCGGCGACAGCCGGAUUAAUACCGCAUACGACCAUACGGCGAAAGCGGGGGAGCUUCGGACCUUGCGCCAUUGCACCGGCCGAUGGCGGAUUAGCUAGUUGGUGGGGUAAAGGCCUACCAAGGCGACGAUCCGUAGCUGGUCUGAGAGGACGACCAGCCACACUGGAACUGAGACACGGCCCAGACUCCUACGGGAGGCAGCAGUGGGGAAUUUUGGACAAUGGGCGAAAGCCUGAUCCAGCAAUGCCGCGUGUGUGAUGAAGGCCUUCGGGUUGUAAAGCACUUUUGGCGGGAACGAAAAGGACUGUGCCAAUACCACGGUUCGAUGACGGUACCCGCAGAAUAAGCACCGGCUAACUACGUG